rnacentral:lncRNA from 1 species
GGUCAAUGUCAGAUCAAUACCGGACUGAUACUCGAUCGAUACCUGAUCAAUGUCAGAUCAAUACCUGAUCAAUGUCAGAUCAAUACCAGGACUGAUUCUCGAUCGAUACCCGAUCAAUGUCAGAUCAAUACCGGGUCAAUGUCAGAUCAAUACUGGGACUGAUACUCGAUCGAUACCUGAUCAAUGUCAGAUCAAUACCGGGACUGAUACUCAAUCGAUACCUGAUCAAUGUCAGAUCAAUACCUGAUCAAUGUCAGAUCAAUACCGGGACUGAUACUCGAUCGAUACCUGAUCAAUGUCAGAUCAAUACCUGAUCAAUGUCAGAUCAAUACCGGGUCAAUGUCAGAUCAAUACCGGGACUGAUACUCGAUCGAUACCUGAUCAAUGUCAGAUCAAUACCGGGUCAAUGUCAGAUCAAUACUGGGACUGAUACUCGAUCGAUACCUGAUCAAUGUCAGAUCAAUACCGGGUCAAUGUCAGAUCAAUACUGGGACUGAUACUCGAUCGAUACCUGAUCAAUGUCAGAUCAAUACCGGGUCAAUGUCAGAUCAAUACCGGGCUGAUCCUGCCCCAAUAGAGGAUCAAUGCCCAGAGCUGUGGCUGGAGCUGUGUCCAGUUCAGUGUCCAGUGUCCAGUUCAGUCCAGUGCAGUGUCCAGUCCAGUGUCCAGUGUCCAGUGUCCAGUGUCCAGUGUCCAGUGUCCAGUGCAGUGUCCAGUGUCCAGUGUCCGGUGUCCAGUGCAGUGUCCAGCCCAGUGUCCAGUCCAGUGUCCAGUCCAGUGUCCAGUCCAGUGUCCAGCUCCAUGUCCAGCUCCAUGUCCAGUCCAGUGUCCAGCACCAUGUCCAGCUCCGUGUCCAGUUUAGUGUCCAGUUCAGUGUCCAGUGUCCAGUGUCCAGCACCGUGUCCAGCUCCAUGUCCAGUUCAGUGUCCAGUUCAGUGUCCAGUGUCCAGCACCGUGUCUAUCUCUGUGUCCGGUGCCGUGUCCAGCUCCGUGUCCAGUCCAAUGUCCAGUCCAAUGUCCAGUCCAGUGUCCAGUCCAGUGUCCAGCUCCAUGUCCAGUCCAGUGUCCAGCUCUGUGUCCAGCCCAGUGUCCAGCUCCAUGUCCAGCUCUGUGUCCAGCUCUGUGUCCAGUCCAGUGUCCAGUUCAGUGUCCAGUGUCCAGCACUGUGUCUAUCUCUGUGUCCGGUGCCGUGUCCAGUCCAGUGUCCAGCUCCGUGUCCAGCUCCGUGUCCAGUCCAGUGUCCAGCUCCCAUAUCCAGCUCCGUGUCCAGCCCAGUGUCCAGUUCAGUGUCCAGUUCAGUGUCCAGUUCAGUGUCCAGUGUCCAGCACCGUGUCUAUCUCUGUGUCCAGUCCAGUGUCCAGCUCCGUGUCCAGCCCAGUGUCCAGUUCGGUGUCCGGCGCCGCGGCCGUGCCGGGGUCAGAGGUCAGCGAGCCCCACGCGCAGGCGCAAGGCCACGGGCAGGUGGUCACUCAGUGUGGCCAGCUGGGUGAUGACCGAGAACCCGGUGACCUCCUGUGGGGACAGAGGGGUCAGGGUGGGGUCACCGGGGUCACUGGGGGGUCACCGGGGUCACUGGGGGUCACUGGGGUCACUGAGGGGUCACUGGGGUCACUGUGGGGUCACUGUGGGGUCACCGUGGUCACUCACAGUGGGCAGUG